rnacentral:miRNA from 1 species
AGGUUGUCUGUGAGGUGUUCA